AACGAACGCUGGCGGCAUGCCUAACACAUGCAAGUCGAACGGGAUCCUAGCUUGCUAGGUGAGAGUGGCGGACGGGUGAGUAACACGUGGGAAUCUGCCUUUUGGUUCGGGAUAACCGCGGGAAACUGCGGCUAAUACCGAAUGCCCUCGAGAGAGGAAAGAUUUAUCGCCAGAAGAGGAGCCCGCGUCCGAUUAGGUAGUUGGUGGGGUAAAGGCCUACCAAGCCGACGAUCGGUAGCUGGUCUGAGAGGAUGAUCAGCCACACUGGGACUGAGAUACGGCCCAGACUCCUACGGGAGGCAGCAGUGGGGAAUAUUGGACAAUGGGGGCAACCCUGAUCCAGCAAUGCCGCGUGAGUGAUGAAGGCCUUAGGUUGUAAAGCUCUUUUGCCAGGGAAGAUGAUGACUGUACCUGGAGAAUAAGCCCCGGCUAACUUCGUGCCAGCAGCCGCGGUAAU
rnacentral:rRNA from 1 species